rnacentral:misc_RNA from 1 species
UCUCCGUUGGUGAACCAGCGGAGGGAUCAUUGCUGGAACAAACCGUUCUUCCGGAACGGCUACCCAGAAACCCUUUGUGAACUUAUACCUACAACUGUUGCCUCGGCGCUAGCUGGUCCUCCGGGGCCCCUCACCCUCGGGUGUUGAGACAGCCCGCCGGCGGCCAACCCAACUCUUGUUUUUACACUGAAACUCUGAGCACAAAACAUAAAUGAAUCAAAACUUUCAACAACGGAUCUCUUGGUUCUGGCAUCGAUGAAGAACGCAGC